rnacentral:rRNA from 1 species
CAAAAACAUCGCCUUCUGCAAUACAACCAAGUAUAGAAGGUCCAGCCUGCCCAGUGACUAUAAGUUCAACGGCCGCGGUAUUUUGACCGUGCAAAGGUAGCGCAAUCACUUGUCUUUUAAAUAAAGACCUGUAUGAAUGGCCAAACGAGGGCUUAACUGUCUCCCUUUUCAAGUCAGUGAAAUUGAUCUACCCGUGCAGAAGCGGGUAUAAUAAUACAAGACGAGAAGACCCUUUGGAGCUUAAGGUACAAAACUCAACCACGUCAAGCAACUUAAUAAAAAGCAAUAAACCUUGUGAAAAAUGAGAUUUUACCUUCGGUUGGGGCGACCACGGAGAAAAACAAAGCCUCCAAGUGGAGUGGGACAAACUCCUAAAACUAAGAGAGACAUCUCUAAGCCACAGAACAUCUGACCAAACAUGAUCCGGCCCAACAAAGCCGAUCAACGAACCAAGUUACCCCAGGGAUAACAGCGCAAUCCCCUCCCAGAGUCCAUAUCGACAAGGGGGUUUACGACCUCGAUGUUGGAUCAGGACAUCCUAAUGGUGCAGCCGCUAUUAAGGGUUCGUUUGUUCAACGAUUAAAGUCCUACGUGAUCUGA